AUGAAGAAGGUGAUCCUCCCCUGUGUUUGGAAAAUGGCUCUGAGUAGCAACGUGACAUCUGAGGUGAAUUUGUGGUUUGAUGUACUGUUGAAGAACUACCUGAGAUUCCUCACAAGGAACCUCAUCAGCCCCAUCGAAGUGCAGAGCGCCUCAUGUCAGGCCUUCCAAAAACUGGUGUUUUAUAUGGGAAACAAUUUCACAUACAACAGUACAGAAUUUGGACCGGAGGAUGUGUACAACACCAUAAGGAGCUACUUGAGCACUGGCUCUGGAGCCAGAUGCUACAAUCCCAGCGACCCAGAACUCAACUCUACCUCCUGGUUUUUCAACUAUAUUGGAAGCUUUGUGAAAUUUAUCACUCUGAAUGACCUCACCAGCUUUAUCUCCACAUCCCAGGCUGAGGUGUUUUGGGAAGACCAAGCUAAUCUGGAGCUUUUCAACAACUCGACAAUUGCUGUAGAUAUAAGAAAUUACUACAUCACUCAGCUGUUUACAGUCAACCCAAGCUUCAGCCUGUUCAAGCUUUUGGGUGUUUUGUUGUGCUCAACUGCCAUCCCAAGUUCAGUGUAUUUGUCUCUAAACGAAGCUAACACCGUGGCCAUCGUGGACAUGAGGAGCAGAUUUUGCUAUGGAAUCGAGGACCCUCAGGCAUCUGCUGCUUUGGCAUCCAACAUCAAGAACAUCACAGCCCAAACGAUUGUUACCUUAGGGGGAGCUGCUUCAGGCCUGAGCAACACUCAGAUCACUUCAGUACCUCCAGCGGUGCUGAUUUCCUCGUUGUCCACUUUGGGUUCAGUGACAACCUGGGGCCAGGAUCAGGCCAACAUCAUUAUUCAAAGCAUAACUUCCUCAGGCUACCAGGUAGAAGCUGUGGACCAUGAUAACCAUUUGAAAUAG
rnacentral:lncRNA from 1 species